GGUCUCGUGGGAGGGCGUGGUCCCGUGCGGUGGGCGUGGCCCGCGGCAGGGCCGGAAGCGGGGCGGGGCGGGGUGGAAAGCGGCGGCGGCGGUUCCGGUAGCGGCGGCGGUGGCGGCGAUGAGCUUCGUGUGGCCCUGGCAGUACAGCUUCCCACCCUUCUUCACGCUGCAGCCCAACGGCGAGACGCGGCAGAAGCAGCUGUCGGCCUGGUGCGCGCUGGCGCUCGCCUACAGCCAGGAGCACCGGCUGUCCGCCAUGACGGUGCGGGAGGCCCAGGACAUCCCGCUCUUCGCCAACCACCGGCUCCAGCGGAAGCUGCCGCUGGAAUCCAUCCAGGUGGUGCUGGAGGAGCUCCGCAAGAACGGGAACCUGGAAUGGUUGGAUAAGAACAAAACCAGCUUUCUGAUCAUGUGGAAGAGACCUGAAGAAUGGGGAAAGCUCAUCUAUCAGUGGGUGAGAGCACACCCAGACCAGGCUGUGUCCAUGAGGAUGGGGGGUCCUGGCAGCCACUUGGGAAGGAGCACUGCUUGCUUCCUCCCUGCUUUUACCUUUCUCCUUGCACUUCUCCCUGUUGCAGAGAGGUGUCAAAGAAUGGCCUGACCAACUCUGUGUUCACGCUGUAUGAACUGGUCAGUGGAGAUGAUACAGAGAAUGAAGAGUUUCAUGGCUUGGAUGAGGCCACGCUGCUCCGUGCCCUUCAGGCCUUGCAGCAGGAGCACAAGGCUGAGAUUAUCACGCUGGAUGAUGGCCGAGGAGUCAAGUUCUUCUGACAGGAGCCUCCUCCCCUUCCCUGCUGCAGUCUGGGCUCUCUCUUGCCAAUCCUUCCUCUCUGGGCCUGGCCUCAAACUGUGACUGCAAGUAGCUGCAUCUGGGGAUUUCUCGAGGCAAGAUGAGUCUGAGAGCCCUUCCAAAGACUUAGGAAUAUCCUGAGAUCCUCUGUCUGUCUGUCUGUUCUCCCUGUUGAUGUGUUCGAGAGGCUAAAGCUGCUCUAGGCAGUUCUGGGAGGGACCACCCAGAAGUGAAACUGGACUUGCUGCUGCUCCCUGUGCCUGUGGUGGCCUCCAAGCAGCCCCAGCUUGGGUCAAGCUUGGCCUCCAAGGGGCUCCCCUGUGUCCCUGCCAGCCACACGUGCCUGGGUCCUGCAGUCCUGCUGCAGUGCCAGGGGAUGAGGUAGGAGCAGGGGACUGGCUGUGGAAGCCCUCAGUGGCAGAAGGAAAUGCACUUGCUGCCAAGCAGGCUGGGGGAAGCCAGGGAACUAAUUUCAGGUGAUUAAAAUGAGAUGUAUUUAUAGAGCA